GACGAACGCUGGCGGCGUGCUUAACACAUGCAAGUGGUGCGACGAACCAGGGCUUGCCCUGGGGCAAAGCCGCGAACGGGUGAGUAACACGUGAGUAACCUGCCCCGAUGACCGGGACAACCCGAGGAAACUCGGGCUAAUACCGGAUGUGGCGCACAGGCAUCAGCCUGUUCGCUAAAGGAAGCUUCGGCCUCCGCAUUGGGAGGGGCUCGCGGCCCAUUAGCUUGUUGGUGGGGUAACGGCCUACCAAGGCAACGAUGGGUAGCUGGUCUGAGAGGACGAUCAGCCACACUGGGACUGAGACACGGCCCAGACUCCUACGGGAGGCAGCAGUGGGGAAUCUUGCGCAAUGCGCGAAAGCGUGACGCAGCAACGCCGCGU
rnacentral:rRNA from 1 species